rnacentral:lncRNA from 1 species
AAAGCAGUAUUUGGCCCUGUGCUGCUUGGAACGAGGACAUUUCAAAUUAUUACCAACUGCAGCUUCUCUCUGCAUCAUUUUGCAUUAUGCAGUUUAAUGGCUGCCUGCUAGAAAGGCAUCUUCUCUGCUUCAGUCAUCUAACAGGAUUUUUGGCAUCCAGCUCAUCAGAUGGGUUAUUUUCUUUAACCAUAUUCCUGUAGGACUGCAUCUUUUAAGCAUCCUGCUGCGUUAUUUUGGCACAACCUUUAUAUCUUUUCAUCUUAUUGUUUCUGGAAUUCCUUUUCUCUUUGUAUCAAGUGAUGUUGCUGUGUGUGCUUUUUCUAACAAAUCUUGGUGGAAGAUCAGAAAAACAAACAAAAAAAAAGGCUAAUGUAUCCUAAGGAUUGAUAAUUUCAGGGUCAAAACAGAUUUUAAGUGCUGAUCUUCUUGCACCCGCUGAUGAAUCUUUCCGACCAAGAAGCUGGUGUAUCGUAUCUAGCUGGCAGCACACAGAACACAUUAGGAAAACAAAGAGAAUGUGAGAUUAAGCCGAAAACAGGCAAGAGAGGCAUUUUCUCACUGUUCUGCAUGAAGGCAGAAGAUGCUUCAAGAGGAUACAACCUCGGUUUUCUUGUUGGAACUAUGGCCUCUUCCCCCCAUCAGAUUAUUCAAAGACCUGCUAAUGUUGAGCUGAC